rnacentral:rRNA from 1 species
GACGAACGCUGGCGGCGUGCUUAACACAUGCAAGUCGAACGGAAAGGCCCUGCUUUUGUGGGGUGCUCGAGUGGCGAACGGGUGAGUAACACGUGAGUAACCUGCCCUUGACUGUGGGAUAACUUCAGGAAACUGGGGCUAAUACCGGAUAGGAGCGCCUGCUGCAUGGGGGGGGUUGGAAAGUUUCGGCGGUUGGGGAUGGACUCGCGGCUUAUCAGCUUGUUGGUGGGGUAGUGGCUUACCAAGGCUUUGACGGGUAGCCGGCCUGGGAGGGUGACCGGCCACAUUGGGACUGAGAUACGGCCCAGACUCCUACGGGAGGCAGCAGUGGGGAGUAUUGCACAGUGGGCGGAAGCCUGAUGCGGCAACGCCGCGUGCGGGAUGACGGCCUUCGGGUUGUAAACCGCUUUCGCCUGUGACGAAGCGUGAGUGACGGUAAUGGGUAAAGAAGCACCGGCUAACUACGUG